rnacentral:rRNA from 1 species
AUACGGAGGGGGCUAGCGUUGUUCGGAAUUACUGGGCGUAAAGCGCACGUAGGCGGACUGGAAAGUUGGGGGUGAAAUCCCGGGGCUCAACCCCGGAACUGCCUCCAAAACUUCCAAUCUAGAGAUCGAGAGAGGUGAGUGGAAUUCCAAGUGUAGAGGUGAAAUUCGUAGAUAUUUGGAGGAACACCAGUGGCGAAGGCGGCUCACUGGCUCGAUACUGACGCUGAGGUGCGAAAGCGUGGGGAGCAAACAGGAUUAGAAACCCUAGUAGUCC